rnacentral:rRNA from 1 species
AGCAGCCGCGGUAAUUCCAGCUCCAAUAGCGUAUAUUAAAGUUGUUGCAGUUAAAAAGCUCGUAGUUGAACUUCAGGCCUGGCUGGGCGGUCCGCCUUCCGGGUGAGUACUGCCUGUGGUCGGGUCCUACCUUCUGGCGAAGCGUCAUGGCCUUAACCGGCCGUGGCGGGGAACCAGGACUUUUACUGUGAAAAAAUUAGAGUGUUCAAAGCAGGCACGCGCUUGAAUACAUUAGCAUGGAAUAAUGGAAUAGGACAGUGGUUCUAUUUGUUGGUUUCUAGGACCGUUGUAAUGAUUAAUAGGGAUAGUUGGGGGCAUUAGUAUUCAAUUGUCAGAGGUGAAAUUCUUGGAUUUAUUGAAGACUAACUACUGCGAAAGCAUUUGCCAGGGAUGUUUUCAUUAAUCAAGAACGAAAGUUAGGGGAUCGAAGACGAUCAGAUACCGUCGUAGUCUUAACCAUAAACUAUGCCGACUAGGAAUCGGGCGAUGUUGACAAAAUGACGCGCUCGGCACCUCAUAC